rnacentral:rRNA from 1 species
UACAGAGGGGGCAAGCGUUGUUCGGAAUUACUGGGCGUAAAGGGCGCGUAGGCGGCCCGCUAAGUCGAACGUGAAAUCCCCAGGCUUAACCUGGGAACUGCGUCCGAUACUGGCAGGCUUGAAUCCGGGAGAGGGAUGUGGAAUUCCAGGUGUAGCGGUGAAAUGCGUAGAUAUCUGGAGGAAUACCGGUGGCGAAGGCGGCAUCCUGGACCGACAUUGACGCUGAGGAGCGAAAGCUAGGGGAGCAAACGGG